rnacentral:rRNA from 1 species
AACGUAGGUACCGAGCGUUAUCCGGAUUUACUGGGCGUAAAGCGCGUUCAGGCGGUUUGGCAAGUCGGGCAUGAAAUCUCUCGGCUCAACCGGGAGAGGUUGUCCGAUACUUCCAGACUUGAGGGCAGUAGAGGGUGGUGGAAUUCCGGGUGUAGUGGUGAAAUGCGUAGAUAUCCGGAGGAGCACCAGUGGCGAAAGCGGCCACCUGGACUGCACCUGACGCUGACACGCGAAAGCUAGGGGAGCGAACGGG